rnacentral:rRNA from 1 species
AUUGAACGCUAGCGGGAUGCUUUACACAUGCAAGUCGAGCGAGCGGCGGACGGUUGAGUAAUGUAUGGGGACUGCCCGAUAGAGGGGGAUAACUACUGGAAACGGUAGCUAAUACCGCAUACUAUCGGAUAACCCAUAUGGGAUUAGCUAGUAGGUGAGGUAAUGGCUCACCUAGGCGACGAUCCCUAGCUGGUCUGAGAGUAUGUUCAGCAACACUGGGACUGAGACACGUCCCAGACUCCUACGGAGGCAGCAGUGGGGAAUAUUGCACAAUGGGCGAAAGCCUGAUGCAGCCAGGCCGCGUGUAUGAAGAAGGCCCUAGGGUUGUAAAGUACUUUCAGUCGGGAGGCGUUACCGACAGAAGAAGCACCGGCUAACUCCGUGCCAGCAGCCGCGGUAAUAC